rnacentral:rRNA from 1 species
AGAGUUUGAUCAUGGCUCAGAUUGAACGCUGGCGGCAGGCCUAACACAUGCAAGUCGAACGGUAACAGGAAGCAGCUUGCUGCUUCGCUGACGAGUGGCGGACGGGUGAGUAAUGUCUGGGAAACUGCCUGAUGGAGGGGGAUAACUACUGGAAACGGUAGCUAAUACCGCAUAACGUCGCAAGACCAAAGAGGGGGACCUUCGGGCCUCUUGCCAUCGGAUGUGCCCAGAUGGGAUUAGCUUGUUGGUGGGGUAACGGCUCACCAAGGCGACGAUCCCUAGCUGGUCUGAGAGGAUGACCAGCCACACUGGAACUGAGACACGGUCCAGACUCCUACGGGAGGCAGCAGUGGGGAAUAUUGCACAAUGGGCGCAAGCCUGAUGCAGCCAUGCCGCGUGUAUGAAGAAGGCCUUCGGGUUGUAAAGUACUUUCAGCGGGGAGGAAGGGAGUAAAGUUAAUACCUUUGCUCAUUGACGUUACCCGCAGAAGAAGCACCGGCUAACUCCGUGCCAGCAGCCGCGGUAAUACGGAGGGUGCAAGCGUUAAUCGGAAUUACUGGGCGUAAAGCGCACGCAGGCGGUUUGUUAAGUCAGAUGUGAAAUCCCCGGGCUCAACCUGGGAACUGCAUCUGAUACUGGCAAGCUUGAGUCUCGUAGAGGGGGGUAGAAUUCCAGGUGUAGCGGUGAAAUGCGUAGAGAUCUGGAGGAAUACCGGUGGCGAAGGCGGCCCCCUGGACGAAGACUGACGCUCAGGUGCGAAAGCGUGNCCAAGUAAGCAAUUCCUGAUCAAGAAAAUUCCAGUUCGAUUGUGGCAUGACCCGAGUACCAAUUCGCGGUCGCGGUAAAACCAUCCCUUUUGCCGUUAACGUUUUGACCGCUUCGCGUACCGCUGUACGACUCACUCCAAAUUGCUCGCCCAGCUCAAUCUCACCGGGCAAAAUGGUGCCGGGUUCAUAUUCACCUUUUAAGAUCCGUUGCGCCAGCUUCUCAGCCAGAACAUACGAAAGGUUUUUCUGUGCAGCUAACUGUUGUGCGCUUAAAGGCAUUACUUAUCUUCCUUUUUCUUUUUAUUCCUCCUUAGUAUGCCACCAGGAAGUGUGAUUACGGUUGCAAAAACGGCAAAUUGCUUGUUUUAUGGCACAUUAACGGGG